rnacentral:rRNA from 1 species
CCCUUAGAUGUUCUGGGCCGCACGCGCGCUACACUGAUGCACUCAACGAGUUUCUUCCUGGUCCGAGCGGAAUGGGUAACCUUUUGAAAGUGCAUCGUGAUAGGGAUAGACUAUUGCAAUUAUUGGUCUUCAACGAGGAAUUCCUAGUAGACGUAGUUCAUCAGACUGCAUCGAUUACGUCCCUGCCCUUUGUACACACCGCCCGUCGCUCCUACCGAUUGAAUGCUCAGGUGAGCCAUUCGGACUUUCAUCAUGCUGGUUUCCAGUUUUGAUGAAGGAAAGUCUUGCGAACCUUAUCAUUUAGAGGAAGGAGAAGUCGUAACA